UAGGGAAUCUUCCGCAAUGGGCGAAAGCCUGACGGAGCAACGCCGCGUGAGUGAUGAAGGUCUUCGGAUCGUAAAACUCUGUUAUUAGGGAAGAACAAAUGUGUAAGUAACUAUGCACGUCUUGACGGUACCUAAUCAGAAAGCCACGGCUAACUACGUACCAGCAGCCGCGGUAAUACGUAGGUGGCAAGCGUUAUCCGGAAUUAUUGGGCGUAAAGCGCGCGUAGGCGGUUUUUUAAGUCUGAUGUGAAAGCCCACGGCUCAACCGUGGAGGGUCAUUGGAAACUGGAAAACUUGAGUGCAGAAGAGGAAAGUGGAAUUCCAUGUGUAGCGGUGAAAUGCGCAGAGAUAUGGAGGAACACCAGUGGCGAAGGCGACUUUCUGGUCUGUAACUGACGCUGAUGUGCGAAAGCGUGGGGAUCAAACAGG
rnacentral:rRNA from 1 species